GUGAAUCAUCGAAUCUUUGAACGCAAAUUGCACUCCCUGGUAUUCCGGGGAGUAUGUCUGUUUGAGGCUCGUUAGAAGAAAAAUCGAAGCAUCGCCCCUUUUUCGAGGGUGAUCGCGUCGGACUUGUUCCGUCCUUCAAAUGUUAAUUCGUGUUAAAGUUGCCUAAUAUUUAUCCUUCCGGU
rnacentral:misc_RNA from 1 species